rnacentral:rRNA from 1 species
AUGACAAGCAAGUCCAUCAUCGUCAUCGAGGACAUCGAUUGCUCCAUUGACCUCACUGGUAAGCGCCGCAAGGGCAAGAAGGCCUCAAGUAACAAGGACUCUGACAAUGAAUAUGAAGCGGACCCGACGGAGCCACAGAAGGACGAUGAAAGCAAGGUGACGCUCUCAGGCCUACUCAACUUCAUCGACGGGCUAUGGUCAGCAAGCGGCGGUGAGCAGAUCAUCAUCUUCACCACCAACCACAAGGAGAAGCUGGACCCGGCGCUAAUCCGGCGGGGUAGGAUGGACAAGCACAUCGAGAUGUCCUACUGCCGCUUCGAGGGCUUCAAGGUUCUCGCCAAGAACUACCUAGACAUCGUCGAGCAUGUGUUGUUCGGCGAGAUCCAGCAGCUUCUCGAAGAGACCGACAUGUCACCGGCCGAUGUGGCAGAGAACCUGAUGCCCAUGUCAAAGAAGAAAAAGAAGGACCCCAACAUGAGCUUGGCAAGCCUUAUCGCCGCGCUCAAACAGGCGAAGAAAGAUGCUGCCACGGCUGCGGCAGCGGCAAAGGCCAAGGAGGAAGAGGAGGCAGAAGCAAAGAAAUCCAAGGAGAAAGAGGAACCCAAGGAAGACAAAUGA